rnacentral:lncRNA from 1 species
GUAAUAGUAAGAGACUAAAACUAGUUUGGAACUGGGUGUAAUUGCCAAAAUCUAUCUAAGUCGCGGCUAACAAUUCCUAAUAACACCAAGUUCAAACCCCAUCCGCAAAUAAUAAUUAAUUCUCUGGGAAACUUGAAAAGAAAUACGGGAAAUCAUCGAUAUUAUCCUUGUAUUAUCUGACAGCCAAACCUUGACUCUUCCAUUCCAAUCAAAAUCAGGUAAAUCAUGUCGUUCGCCGGAGAUCCGCCUUCNNN